UCAGAGAGGUCUCCUGAUGAUCUCUUCAAUUCUCCAGAGCAAUUCUCAGUUUUUGUGUCAGAAGCUCUUUCUCCUAUCUGUCACGUCUUUUUAAGAGUCAGUUAAUUUCACUGAUUCGCUUAGCACACAAGGAUUAAUUCGCUCUGCGAAUUAAUUUAAAUUUGUGCACUCAACUGCUGCAAUUCGCUAAGCGCACAGAGUCUGGUGAGCUAUGCGAAUUUCAGUAUUGCACUCUGAUGGGUGUCGCCGCCCAAUCAAAUUUAAUGAGCAUAAAGAAUAUGCAGUAUAGCUAGGAGGUGACUCCUAGGUCGUCUCUCAAGGACCAAAUGUGGUUUGAGUCUUAGGUCUAACACGAAGGGAGGGGGGUUGUGAAAGGUUUUUGCAAGAAAAAUUAGACUAAAUUAAAAAUGGAAAUUAAACCGAACAUAAUUAAAAUCAUUAAAGUAAAUGAAAACAAUAAACUAAACACUACAGCAGAUAAAUCUCCAAACAUGAUUAAAACUAUUAAAAUACAAUGCUUGAACUAAAAAGUUAAAUGCACAUUGAUUAAAAAAAAUAAAUAAAAAAUAAAAAAAAACUACGAAAUUGAAGGGCACCACGUCAGGUAACAAAAUUAAAUGAACAUCAUAUUCAAAACAAUACAAGAAAAAAAUAAAAUAAAAGAAAAUGAAAAACUAUAAAAGAAAGAACAUAAUUAUAAGCUUGAAACACGUUAACAGUACUAACAAAAUAAGAAUGCAUGAUGAAUAUUAUAUGUUAAAAGGUUACUUCAAAGCUAAAUGCAAAUUUAUAAAAUAUAAUAAUAUAUCAUGAUUCAAGAGUGAAGACCAAAAUUAGCUCACAUUUCUAGAAGAUAUAUUUCAACUAAAAAUAAUAAAAUCUACAAAGCUGAACUCUACUGAUGCUGCUAUGUGCGUCACUUCAUCUCUUUGCAAUUGAAGAAAAAUGUAUUCAUCUUCUCGGUUCCAGCAAGAAAAUGAAAACCCCUAUAUUGCAACGUCACUCUCCUACCACAAAGAAAGUUAAUUCCCCUUCUGCAUAAGCCAAGUGAUGUCGCCUCUCCUUGCUAGACCCGUGCACACUUCAAUAUGAAAUCAAGUUCUACUAUUUUCUAAAAGCUUAAAUCACCGUUCCUGCAUCACUUCUUUAGAUGAAAGAAAUAUACAAAGCAUUUAAUAACAAAAUGAAAGUAGCGGACUCCACCCAAAGAAAUUGAACAGCGUUUCUUUAGAAGACAAAAAAAAUAACUACGUGAGCUGCUUGCAAUUGUUGAAUGAAAUUAAAUUAAAAAAAAUACUACCAAAGCCGUGACAUUUAUCUGCACACCCGUGGAUUAAUAUGCAUCCUCUCAUUCAUCCAUAAUCGAGCACGGUACCCAUUGUUCAAAGAAAAAGAAUGCUAUCUAAAAUUGUUCCAGCCACCAAAAUUCUGAAAAUGAGUGCAGCCCCUUUUCCAACCAAUCUGCCGAGAGUAUGAAUAAUCCCAAGUGACGGUUCUUAGGUUUU
rnacentral:lncRNA from 1 species